AAUCUUCCGCAAUGGGCGCAAGCCUGACGGAGCAACGCCGCGCGAGUGAAGAAGGUUUUCGGAUUGUAAAACUCUGUCCAUGGGGAAGAUAAUGACGGUACCCGUUGAGGAAGCCCCGGCUAACUACGUGCCAGCAGCCGCGGUAAAACGUAGGGGGCAAGCGUAGUCCGGAAUUAAUGGGCGUAAGGGGCGUGUAGGCGGCUAUUCAAGUCAAUAGUGAAACCCGACGGCUAAACCGUCGGCUUGCUGUCGAAACUGAAUGGCUUGAGUGCAGGAGAGGAGAGUGGAAUUCCCAGUGUAGCGGUGAAAUGCGUAGAUACUGGGAGGAACACCAGUGGCGAAGGCGGCUCUCUGGCCUGCAACUGACGCUGAGGCGCGAAAGCGUGGGUAGCGAAC
rnacentral:rRNA from 1 species